UUUUUAGCUAAGAGAAAUAAAAAUGAAAAAGGUAUGUGAUCCAAUAGUUUUGAACAAUUGGAUCGUCAGCUUUUUUUAUUUUUAUUUUAUUUUUUCUCACUAAAUUUAGAAUCCAAACACAAUCUUAGGGUGUGAAUUUCGAAAUCUACAAAUAUAAUAUAGGCUACGUUCAUUUGGUGUGAAUUCAGUUAGUGGUUGCAAUUAAGGUCUCUUGUAAGUACGAUAUGAAUAAUGUUUGAUUCUUUUAUGUUGUCUUUUUUUAGUUCUCUUUUUUGUGUGCUUGAUUAGAUUAGUUAUGUAAUUAAUUAUAACUCUAGUUGGACUGGGGCAAAUUAAAUUAAUUGAUUGUUAGAUUAUUAAUUAAUUAAUAUCAUGGUUAUAUCAUUGUGUGACAAGGGUUUGAUAAAUUACCGAAGCAUUUUUAUCCUAGUGACUAUAAUAUCCGAAAGCUUAGGUUGCGUUUCGAAAGGAAAGAAAUGGAAAAGAAUGGACACUAAUAAUUUUCCCUUUUCCAGGUUUCGUAUCUAGUUUUAAGAAGGAAAGUCAGUCAAAACUUAUUUUCUUUCUUGUUUUGAAAUUUUCUUUUCACAUUUUCACCUCUUAAUUUUAUCUAAAAUUAAAUAAAAAUAAUUUUUUUUUUUUUUACAAAAAACAAACAAAGAGAAAUAUAUAGUUUUCUCUAGAUUCUUCCUUUUAAUUCCUUUAUCUAGUUUCUCUUUCUUUUUCUUUACACAAUUUCCAAACACAGGCUUAAUCAUGGGAGAGAGAGGUUGCUAGGUUGUGUAAUUAGCAAAAUUUCAUGACACGUCUUAUUUGAUGUAAUUUGGAGAUUUAGUUUAUCAAUUACAAGCAUUCGGAAAGAUUUCAAGCAUUCAAAAAGGUUUUUAAGUAUAUUCAUACAAGAUCAUGCUAACAGAGACUUGUAAGAUACAUCGUGGAUGAUAAACGGGACUUCAAGGGAUUUCGAGAGAUGACAAUCAUUAGAUCAUAGAGUUGAUAGAUUUUAAUUGUAAGAGUCUUGUAAUCAUCUGAACAUCGAGUUAUAGUGCAUGAUCUUUGUCCAGAGAAGGGAACACGUGAUUUUUCUUUCAUUCAAGGGUUUCCACGGUAAAAAUCUUGUGUAUUUCUUGGUUAAUGGGUUUGUUUCUUUUUAUAUCUUGAAUCUUACAAUAUUGCACAAAGUCGUGAUAUUCAUUUAAUAUUGUAGUUUUUAGAUCAUUGGGUAAAACAUAGACAAAUGUUAGGUUUUCUAAAUGUCAAUUACACAAAUAGAUACACAGUAUUAUUAUACAUAGAGGGAGCAAUAGCCCACAAGUAGAAGUUUCAGUUUCACCACACCCAUAUUAUUAACAGAUGGAAAUAUAUAUUUAUUCUUGAGAGGUACACACUGAUCACACAUCUACUGCUCCAUACCAAGUAAGCCAGAUAAUGGCAUUUAUAUCUCCAUUAUAUCACUUGAGAUGGUGGGUCUCAAUGUCUUUUGUGAUCUCAAUACAGAGGUCCAUCAAUUUGUUUGGCUCUUCAACAUCUUCUUUCGGCUUUUCAUAGUGAAAGUUCCAUGUCACCGAGGUGUUUUCCCCUUUUGUGUCCACAUGAACAACAAUCAUAAAGGUCUUGUACAGAUCCAUAAGAUCUCCUUCAACAACCUUGAAUGUCACGGACUUGGUUUCUUCUUCAGUUCUUCUAUUGCUUCAACAAUUUCCUUAGCAGCCUUCUCCUUUCUAUCUGUGGUUUUCAUCACAUUAAAUGCAACUUCUUAAGUCAAGCUAGUCAAGGCGUAUCCACAAUUUUAAUUUUGGGGAGCUGAAUAUAUAUAUAAAACACAUAAUUUGUAAAUUACACAUGUAAUAUAUUGGACCUAGAAUUUCUCUCCUAGGUGCUUUCAAUUGCUUGUAAUAAAACAUAAUAUUUUUAUGUAAUUUUUAUAUAUUUUAUAUUUUGAGUAUUUGUCUGUGAAUCCAACCCUAUAGUUGUAAUUUAAAGAAAUUCUGAAACUACGAGGACAAAAGUGCAAUUUUGUACUAGAGGAGGUUAAGAAGACUAUAAAUACAUGAGGGAGGCAACCCUAAUUGGGAGUAAGAGCCAACAAUAUUGUUUAUCCAUGCUCUUUGUGUACUUGAGAGAUUUUUAGAGAAAUCAUUGAGCUUCAUCUUUUCUCUUAAGGUGUGUUUAUCAUAAACUCAUCAAAUCAAGAUUUAAAUCCUUUGGACAUACUCAAAGGCGGAUAGAUUUAAGUUCAAUUCAUAGAUGAUUGUUGAUGAUUCAAUACUCAACCAUUAACUGAAGCGUAGAUCGUGGACUCAGUCAGUACUAGGAUCACAUUCACAUGUUCGAGGAUUUGACACCUAAGGCGCGUGAAUUUAGUUAGAUUGAGUUUGUAAGUUAUAACUUAUAUUUUGCAUAGUGGAUUAGUUGAUCGUACUUAGUUCCAGAUUUUUUUUUCUACUUUGAGAUUUUGCACGUAAAAAAUUGCUUGUUUUUGUGUGUGCUUGAUUUUAUAUUUAUUUGAGGUUUUUAUUUGUUUGGUUAAAUAGCUUCGCAAAUUCAUAAAACGAAUAAAACUAUAUUUUUAAUUUUACAAUUGGUAUCAGAGCGGGUCACUCAAAAUAAAAUAUUUUUUUAUUUUUUUUCAGAGUAUGGUCUGAUUGAUUUGUUUCUAUGUAUAAAUUUGAUCGUAAGAAGCUUGACAAUAUUCAACAAGCCUAUGAUAACUUUGUAAGGAGUCUUAUGAGAAGAACAAAAUUUAUGAAAAAUGUAAUGCAAAAGUGGAAUCACUUAAGAAGUCUUAAGAGAUGAAUAUAAAUAAGAGCUAAUUGAAGCUCAAGCUACCGUGGGUGAAUUGAAUCGUAUAAUGCUACUUUGUCUAAAAAAAAAAUUAUUAUUGAAAAAGAGAAAAAAUAAAUAUUUGAUAAGUUGAAUUUACUUUUUGAAAAACAUUUAAAACCUGACAAAGAUAUGCAUUUGUGUCUUGAGUCAAAAGAUAAUCUUGA
rnacentral:lncRNA from 1 species